rnacentral:misc_RNA from 1 species
GUCGGUGAACCAGCGGAGGGAUCAUUACUGAGUUGCAAAACUCCAAACCCAUUGUGUUCUUGAAUUAUCUGUUGCCUCGGCAGGCUGCCCCAGGGCGGGGCGCUACAAGGCCUGCCGAAAGCACCCCUAAAACUCCUCUGAAACGCGUCUUCUGAAGCACUAAGAAAUAAUCAAAACUUUCAACAACGGAUCUCUUGGUUCUG